rfam:Trichinella murrelli scaffold307s, whole genome shotgun sequence.
GCGCCGAUGGUUCAGUGGUAGAAUGCUUACCUCCCACGUAAGCGAUCCGGGUUCGAUUCCCGGUCGGCGCA